CUAUACAUGACUCUGUGCAUAUCAAUAAGCGGAGGAAAAGAAACUAACAAGGAUUCCCCUAGUAACGGCGAGUGAAGCGGGAAGAGCUCAAAUUUGAAAUCUUAAAGGGUUUCCCUUUACGAAUUGUAGUUUAAAGAAGUGUUUUCUGUUGAGGUUUUGGUAAAAGUUCUUUGGAAUAGGACAUCAUAGAGGGUGAGAAUCCCGUAUUUGACCAUUACUUUCAGCUUUGUGAUACACUUUCAAAGAGUCGGAUUGUUUGGGAAUGCAGUCCAAAAUGGGUGGUAAAUUUCAUCUAAAGCUAAAUAUUGGCGAGAGACCGAUAGCGAACAAGUACCGUGAGGGAAAGAUGAAAAGAACUUUGAGAAGAGAGUUAAACAGUACGUGAAAUUGUCAAAAGGGAAGCGUUUGACACCAGUGUUGUUUUUCUGAAAAUCAAUUAAAGAACUGUUUAUGCUAAGUUGUUUAGACUUUAUCAGCUAACUGUUUAGUUUUGAGCUUUUCUUUAAUGCACUUUUCAGUUAACAAGUCAACAUCAAUUUCUUUUGCUGUAAAAAAGCUUGAGGAAGGUGGCUUGAGAUUCGUCUUAAGUGUUUAUAGCCUCUUGCCUAUGCAGUCGGAGAGAUUGAGGUCUGCAGCGUAGAACCUUCGGGGCUAAAUGCAUUUGUGCUAAGUUAUAGCAUUUUAUAGACAACUUGUUGACUAUGAUUUGUCUUGUAGCUUACUCGCUUAUGUUAUUUUACCUACGCUUAGGAUGUUGACAGCAGUAUAGACUGU
rnacentral:rRNA from 1 species